rnacentral:lncRNA from 1 species
UAGAAUUUGGAUUUUUCUUCUUCGUAGAGUUUUGGGAAGACUGAGGCAAUCGUUGCUGAAGUCAGUGUUGUAAUGGUGAAUCGGGAUUUUUAAAUGAAGUGGGUUUGAAUACUCUUGACUGUUUUGUAAAAUCGAGUUACGUCUGUGAUUGAAGGAUUAAAGGGGUGUCUAUAGGAUUGAAUAUGCGGAGUGAAUGAAAUUUAUUGGGUUAAUCUAACAGGACAGUCAGUGGAUACAAGAUCGUAAGUACAAAGGGAUAUUGAAGAUUAACAGUUU